CCCGGACACCUUGUCCCCAACACCAGGACACCUCAUCCCCAAAACACCCGGACACCUCCAUCCCCCAACGCCCGGACACCUCGUCCCCCAACACCCGGACACCUUGUCCCCAAACACCAGGACACCCUGUCCCCCAACACCUGGACACCUCAUCCCCAAACACCUGCACACCUUGUCCUCCAACACCCAGACACCUUGUCCCCCAACACCCGGACACCUCGUCCCCAAACACCCAGACAUCUCCAUCCCCCAACGCCCGGACACCUCCAACCCCCAACACCUGGACACCUUGUCCCCCAACGCCCGGACACUUCGUCCCCCAACACCCAGACACCUCGUCCCCAAACACCUGGACACCUUGUCCCCAAACCCCUGCACACCUUGUCCACCAACGCCCGGACACCUCCAUCCCCCAGCACCCAGAGACCCUGUCUACAAACACCUGCACACCUUGUCCCCCAACACCCAGACACCUUGUCCCCCAACACCCAGACAUCUCCAUCCCCCAGCACCCACAGACCCUGUCUACAAACACCCAGAGACCCCAUCCACAAACACCCGGACGCCACCAUUCUCCAAGACCUGAAAAUCCCAGUCCUCCAUAUCCCCAACACCUGGACACCCCAGUCUCUCAACACCUGGACGUUUCCAUUCUCCAAGACCUGAACAUCCUGACACCCCAUCUCUUGACACCCGGACACUCCAGUCCUCCAACACCUGGACAUCUCCAUUCUCCAAGACCUGCACAUCCUGAUGCCCCAUCUCCCGACACCUGGACACCCCAGUCCUCCAACACCUGGACGUCUCCAUUCUCCAAGACCUGCACAUCCUGAUGCCCCAUCUCCCGACACCUGGACACCCCAGCCCUCCAAAACCUGACACCCCAGUCCCUCAACACCUGGACUUCUCCA
ensembl:lncRNA